GAAGUUUGAUCAUGGCUCAGAUUGAACGCUGUGGCGGUCUUUACAUGCAAGUCCGAACAGCAGCCUGGACUUCAGUCUGGUGGCGAGUGGCGAACGGAGUGAGUAAUGUAUCGGAACGUGCUAAUGUAGCGGGGAUAACUACGCGAAAGCAGCAUUAAUACACAUGCGCCCUUCGGGGGAAAGCGGGGACCCGGCAGGCCUCGCACUAUUAGAGCGGCCGAUAUCGGAUUAGCUAGUUGGUGGGGUAACGGCUCACCAGGAAGAAGACGAUCCGUAGGCGCUGGUUUGAGAGGACGACCAGCCACACUGGGACUGAGACACGGCCCAGACUCCUACGGGAGGCAGCGAGCUGGGGGAGCUACGGACAAUGGAAACCCUGAUCAAACCGCGUGUGCGAUGAAGGCCUUCGGGUUGUAAAGCACUUUUGAAAAGCGCGGGAAAGAAACGGCAAGGAUAAUACCCCGUGCAACUGACGGUACCUGCAGAAUAAGCACCGGCCUAACUACGUGCCCAACAACCACUGGUAAUACGUAGAUUACAAGCGUUAAUCAAGUUACUGGGCGUAAAGCGUGCGCAGGCGGUUCGGAAAGAAAGAUGUGAAAUCAGAGCUUAACUUUGGAACUGCAUUUUUAACUACCGAGCUAGAGCAGUGUCAGAGAGGUGGAAUUCCACGUGUAGCAGUGGAAAUGCGUAGAUAUGCGGGAGGAACACCGAUGGCGAGGCAGCCUCCUGGGAUAACGCUGACAGCUCGUGCACAGCGUGAGAGCAAACGGGAUUGAAUGCCCUGGUGGUCCACGCCCACAAACGUGUCAGCUGGCUGUUGAAGCCUUCGGGCCUUAGUAGCCUGUAUGCUGCGAUGAAGUUGACCGCCUGGGAGUACGGUCGCGGGUAAACUCAAAGUCGGCAGGGACCACACCGGCGGUGGAUGAUGUGGAUUAAUUCGAUGCAACGGCGAGCCUUUACCUACCCUUAAACGUAUCUGAUCAAGAUUUGGGGUGCUCGCAAAGACGGAACACAGGUGCUGCAUGGCUGUCGUCAGCUCGUGUCGUGAGAUGUUGGGUUGAAGAAUCCCAUAACGAGCGCAACCCUUGUCAUUGGUGCUACGAAGGGCGUCUAAUGAGACUACCAGUGACAAACCGGAGGAAAAUUAGAGAUAAGCGUCAAGUCUCAUAUUACAUAUGGUGGGCUUCACACGUCAUACAAUGGUCAGGACAGGGUCGUAACCCGCGAAGGUAAUCCCAGAAACUUGAUCAUAGUCCGGAUGCAGUCUGCAACUCGACUGCGUGAAGUCCGAAUCGCUAGUAAUCGCAGAUCAGCAUGUCAUAGUAGAUACGUUCAGGUCUUGCCUAUGCGUCACAUCAUGGGGUAGGUUUUACCAGAAGUAGUUAGCCUAACCGUAAGAGGGCGAUUACCACGGUAGUUAUUCAUGACUGGGGUGAAGUCGUAACAAGGUAG
rnacentral:rRNA from 1 species